rnacentral:rRNA from 1 species
UACGUAGGGUGCAAGCGUUGUCCGGAAUUAUUGGGCGUAAAGAGCUCGUAGGCGGUCUGUCGCGUCGGCUGUGAAAUCCCGGAGCUCAACUCCGGGCCUGCAGUCGAUACGGGCAGACUGGAGUUCGGCAGGGGAGACUGGAAUUCCUGGUGUAGCGGUGAAAUGCGCAGAUAUCAGGAGGAACACCGGUGGCGAAGGCGGUUCUCUGGGCAUGUCCUGACGCUGAGGAGCGAAAGUGUGGGGAGCGAACAGG